rnacentral:rRNA from 1 species
CGAACGGGUGAGUAAUACAUCGGAACGUGUCCGCUCGUGGGGGACAACCAGCCGAAAGGUUGGCUAAUACCGCAUGAGUUCUACGGAAGAAAGAGGGGGACCCGCAAGGGCCUCUCGCGAGCGGAGCGGCCGAUGACUGGUUAGCCGGUUGGUGAGGUGACGGCUCACCAAAGCAACGAUCAGUAGCUGGUCUGAGAGGACGACCAGCCACACUGGGACUGAGACACGGCCCAGACUCCUACGGAAGGCAGCAG